rnacentral:rRNA from 1 species
GAUGAACGCUGGCGGCGUGCCUAAUACAUGCAAGUCGAGCGAAUGGAUUAAGAGCUUGCUCCUAUGAAGUUAGCGGCGGACGGGUGAGUAACACGUGGGUAACCUGCCCAUAAGACUGGGAUAACUCCGGGAAACCGGGGCUAAUACCGGAUAACAUUUUGAACCGCAUGGUUCGAAAUUGAAAGGCGGCUUCGGCUGUCACUUAUGGAUGGACCCGCGUCGCAUUAGCUAGUUGGUGAGGUAACGGCUCACCAAGGCGACGAUGCGUAGCCGACCUGAGAGGGUGCUCGGCCGCACUGGGACUGAGACACGGCCCAGACUCCUACGGGGGGCAGCAGUAGGGAAUCUUCCGCAAUGGACGAAAGUCUGACGGAGCAACGCCGCGUGAGUGAUGAAGGCUUUCGGGUCGUAAAACUCUGUUGUUAGGGAAGAACAAGUGCUAGUUGAAUAAGCUGGCACCUUGACGGUACCUAACCAGAAAGCCACGGCUAACUACGUGCCAGCCGCCGCCGUAA